rnacentral:rRNA from 1 species
CGAGCAUSAUUCCUGGCGUCAGAUGAGUGACGUCUGGCGGCAUGUGAGGUACACAUGCAAGUCGCACGACGGUAUCGGCCUUAGUGGCGGACGAGGCGAGUAAUCGAAUUAGGCAUCUAUCCAUGUGGAUGGGGGAUAACUGAGGGAAAAGAUGGCUAAUGGACGCAUGAUGCACCUGAGGGUCCAAAGUGCGCUAGUAGCUAGAGGAGGAGCUCAAUGCGGCUGAUCUAGCUUCCAAUGAUGGGUUAAUGACCUUGUACAAGGUGAUGUAUCCCAGGACAUUAGGGUCAUGAUGACUUGAGGUCAUCACCACCUUCCUUGGGGAGGUCAGCAGUAGGCAAUCUCUCUACGGGAGGCAACAGUGGGGAAUAUGCUGGACUGUAAAUAUGGGGGCAGAACUGAAUCCAUCAAUUACUCGAAUGUCUGAAGAAGAAAUCGGACAUUAGCGAGUAGCCGUCAGGUUGAUCCGGUAGGCCCGUAGCAAGAAGCCGGGUUAUUUCUGUCCAGCAGCCGAUCGGUACACCUCCUGAGAGGGGUCAAAGCGUUGCGGGAAUAUUUGGGCGUAAAGGACCGCCGCUAGCGCGGUUCUGUCGACAAUUCAGAUGUGAAAUCUUUUGCGGUCUUAAUCCUGAGGAGUUGCUCGGGAUACGGGCAUGCUUAGAGCAGAGAGAGGCAGGUGAGAAUUCCACAGUGUAGAGGUGAAAUUGGUAAAUUAUGGGAAGACCCCCGGUGGGGAAGGGGGCAUCUGGUUCUCAUACCUGCCGUUGCAGGCGCGAAAUAUGGGGGAGCAACCAGGAUUAGAUACCUGGUUAGUCCUCGCGGUAAUCCAAAUAGUGUUAGAUGGUAGUUAUUUACCUAUUCAGUGUCGC